AUACGGAGGGUGCAAGCGUUAUUCGGAAUCACUGGGCGUAAAGGACGCGUAGGCGGCUACUUAAGUCAGAUGUGAAAUCCCCGGGCUCAACCUGGGAACUGCAUCUGAUACUGGGUAGCUAGAGUUUUGGAGAGGGAAGUAGAAUUUCAGGUGUAGCGGUGAAAUGCAUAGAGAUCUGAAGGAAUACCAGUGGCGAAGGCGACUUCCUGGCCAAAAACUGACGCUGAGGUGCGAAAGCGUGGGGAGCAAACAGGAUUAGAAACCCCAGUAGUCC
rnacentral:rRNA from 1 species